GACGAACGCUGGCGGCGUGCUUAACACAUGCAAGUCGAACGAAGAGCGAUGGAAGCUUGCUUCUAUCAAUCUUAGUGGCGAACGGGUGAGUAACGCGUAAUCAACCUGCCCUUCAGAGGGGGACAACAGUUGGAAACGACUGCUAAUACCGCAUACGACCUAACCUCGGCAUCGGGGAGGGAGGAAAGGUGGCCUCUAUUUAUAAGCUAUCACUGCAGGGGGGGAGUGCGGCGGAUUGGCUAGUGGGGGGGGUAAGGGCCCCCAAAGGCGAGGUUAAGUAGCCGGUCGGGAAGGAUGAGCGGCCACCUUGGGACGGGGACCCGCCCCAGCCUCCUAGGGGGGGCAGCAGUGGGGAAUCGUCCGCAAGGGGCGAAAGUCUUACGGAACAAGCCCGCGUGGGUGACGGCGGCCUUGGGGUUGGAAAGCCCUUUUAAGGGGGGCGAAAGGCUUUCUUGCGAAAAGUAGAAAGGAUGACGGGAACCGGAAAAGAAGCCCCGGCUAACCCCGUG
rnacentral:rRNA from 1 species